AGGCCCAGCCUGCCCAGUGAUAAUUUCAACGGCCGCGGUAUCCUAACCGUGCAAAGGUAGYGUAAUCACCUGUUUCUUAAUUAGAGACCUGUAUGAACGGCAUCACGAGAGUCACACUGUCUCYUCUUUCAAGUCAGUGAAACUAAUCUUUCUGUGAAAAAGCAGAAAUUCUCAAACAAGACGAGAAGACCCUUUGGAGUUAAGACCAAUAAAAUUUUUACGCCUCUUACUUUUUACACACCACCUGUAACACCAAAUUUUAAUAGUCUCAGUUGGGGCAACUACGGAGUAAAAAUAACCCUCCAAGAUGUAACGGAAUUUUCCUAAACUAAAAGCUACAACUUUACGUAUCAACAAAAUGACAUUAUUAGACCCAAUAUUUUGAUUAACGAACUAAGUUACCCUAGGGAUAACAGSGCAAUCCACUCUAAGAGUCCCUAUCGACGAGUGGGCUUACGACCUCGAUGUU
rnacentral:rRNA from 1 species